GAUGAACGCUGGCGGCGUGCCUAAUACAUGCAAGUCGAGCGAACAGACGAGGAGCUUGCUCCUCUGACGUUAGCGGCGGACGGGUGAGUAACACGUGGAUAACCUACCUAUAAGACUGGGAUAACUUCGGGAAACCGGAGCUAAUACCGGAUAAUAUAUUGAACCGCAUGGUUCAAUAGUGAAAGACGGUUUUGCUGUCACUUAUAGAUGGAUCCGCGCCGCAUUAGCUAGUUGUAAGGUAACGGCUUACCAAGGCAACGAUGCGUAGCCGACCUGAGAGGGUGAUCGGCCACACGGGAACUGAGACACGGUCCAGACUCCUACGGGAGGCAGCAGUAGGGAAUCUUCCGCAAUGGGCGAAAGCCUGACGGAGCAACGCCGCGUGAGUGAUGAAGGUCUUCGGAUCGUAAAACUCUGUUAUUAGGGAAGAACAAAUGUGUAAGUAACUAUGCACGUCUUGACGGUACCUAAUCAGAAAGCCACGGCUAACUACGUG
rnacentral:rRNA from 1 species